GGGUACUGUUUAGAUGUGACCGGAUGGCAGGGCUCUGCCUUGGCCCCUGCGGCCUUGUCCAUGUGAGCCACCGAAGGGGUGAGAGAAAGAGAGACCGAGCCAAUUAAAAAGAUCUCCAGUUCUUCUUCCUCAUGCUCGCGGCCGGUUCCAGUUUUUGAAAUCUGUAAUUUCUCCAUUGGCGGAGUUUGGUGACCUCUGCAAAUUAUACGAUCGGCUCGCGUAAUGGAUGAACCCACAAGCGCUGCUCCGCCUGCUCCAUGCGCUAACAGGAACGCAGGACGAAGAAUUUGAGGAAGCGAUGUACCACAAUGUGCUGACGAAGCUUCGGUUGAAGAGUGGCUUCCAUCGACAUCGAAAGAGAGCGGGCCAUCUGUGUCUUCUCGAAGGUAUAUCUUCUUCAUAGGAAUAUUAUCAGAAGUUUUGAGCCCUGAUUGAUAACAAAAGUUUGUUCUGAAGGUGAGUUGCACAAUCUCGAUACUACGAAUGAGCCUGAGGCUCCUAUCUUUGACAAGACACCUCAAUGCAUCACAAAUUUUUUUAUUAACUUUGCUGAGAACGGCAGUGAUAAGAAGAUAGCAGCGGGGCGAACCUGAUGGCGCCAUAGGAGAGAAAGAUGCAUCAGAAUCUUCGGUUGAGGCCUUAGGGGUGAAGGUGUACCAGAGAAGGAAGUUGUCCAGGAAAACAUACAACAUAGUACUUAGAAAGGCCGAAGAAGGUACUGCUGCCCUGAUAAGUGAAGGAGCAAGUACUUUUUAGAAGAAAGGCCAAGAUCAUAUAUUCUUCAUGCAUAAUGGGUGCAGGAAUGUCUUUAAUUUAAGCAGAGUUAAGAAUGGAUGUUGCGAAACUGAGGCCGAGAUCUUAUUUUGUUGUAAUGAUGGUACUAUAUGGCAGUUCAGUACUUUGGCUAAAUUGUGAACUGUAAUGAAGCCAGUGUGCACUUUAAUUGUUCGUCCGAGGUCCAUAAUGUGUCAUACAUUUGUAUGGAUGUUAUUUCAGAUGCCCUUUGAGAACUAUAUGAUUGUUCGAUAAUUAGCAUAA